rnacentral:piRNA from 1 species
UGGCAAAAGCAAGAUGUUCUCAAUGGA